UACAGAGAGCCCAUACUGAACCCCAUGUGUCUCUGCGUUGACACAUUGAAUGUCUUUAUGUUUGUACUGCAAGUAUAGUGUAAUUGAUGUGUAUAUAGGUAUAGUGUAAUUGAUGUGUAUAUAGGUAUAGUGUAAUUGAUGUGUAUAUAGGUAUAGUGUAAUUGAUGUGUAUAUAGGUAUAGUGUAAUUGAUGUGUAUAUAGGUAUAGUGUAAUUGAUGUGUAUAUAGGUAUAGUGUAAUUGAUGUGUAUAUAGGUAUAGUGUAAUUGAUGUGUAUAUAGGUAUAGUGUAAUUGAUGUGUAUAUAGGUAUAGUGUAAUUGAUGUGUAUAUAGGUAUAGUGUAAUUGAUGUGUAUAUAGGUAUAGUGUAAUUGAUGUGUAUAUAGGUAUAGUGUAAUUGAUGUGUAUAUAGGUAUAGUGUAAUUGAUGUGUAUAUAGGUAUAGUGUAAUUGAUGUGUAUAUAGGUAUAGUGUAAUUGAUGUGUAUAUAGGUAUAGUGUAAUUGAUGUGUAUAUAGGUAUAGUGUAAUUGAUGUGUAUAUAGGUAUAGUGUAAUUGAUGUGUAUAUAGGUAUAGUGUAAUUGAUGUGUAU